rnacentral:rRNA from 1 species
UACGGGGGGGCAAGCGUUGUUCGGAAUUACUGGGCGUAAAGGGCUCGUAGGCGGCCAACUAAGUCAGACGUGAAAUCCCCCGGCUUAACCAGGGAACUGCGUCUGAUACUGGAUGGCUUGAGUUUGGGAGAGGGAUGCGGAAUUCCAGGUGUAGCGGUGAAAUGCGUAGAUAUCUGGAGGAACACCGGUGGCGAAGGCGACAUCCUGGACCAACACUGACGCUGAGUGAGCGAAAGCCAGGGGAG